UACGUAGGGGGCAAGCGUUGUCCGGAUUUAUUGGGCGUAAAGAGCGUGUAGGCGGCCAGGUAGGUCGGUUGUGAAAACUCGAGGCUCAACCUCGAGAUGUCGACCGAAACCAUCUGGCUAGAGUCCGGAAGAGGAGAAUGGAAUUCCCGGUGUAGCGGUGAAAUGCGCAGAUAUCGGGAGGAACACCUAUGGCGAAGGCAGCUCGCUGGGACGUUACUGACGCUGAGGACGACGAAGCUGGGGGAGCGAA
rnacentral:rRNA from 1 species